UACGAAGGGGGGCUAGCGUUGCUCGGAAUCACUGGGCGUAAAGCGCACGUAGGCGGAUUGUUAAGUCAGGGGUGAAAUCCUGGAGCUCAACUCCAGAACUGCCUUUGAUACUGGCGAUCUUGAGUCCGGGAGAGGUGAGUGGAACUGCGAGUGUAGAGGUGAAAUUCGUAGAUAUUCGCAAGAACACCAGUGGCGAAGGCGGCUCACUGGCCCGGUACUGACGCUGAGGUGCGAAAGCGCGGGGAGCAAACAGGG
rnacentral:rRNA from 1 species